CAUAUAUAUUCUUUCUAGGAUAUAAAUUUGUAUUUAACUUUUAAAUAUUAUGAAUAACUUUGGGUUUUUAUUUCCAUUCAUGUUGUGUAUGCAUCCAUGAAUCGUCCAAAGAAUUAAUAAGAUGAUGACAAAUAUUCUCAAGAGUUGAGAAUUUGAGACAUGUGUCAUUGGUGGUUAAUUCCUAAAUACCCCUGAUCAAUGGAUCAUCACGGGGACGGUGAUUGAUCCGGUGAGAUUGGCACAUAGGUCGCUUCCCUUUUUGAGUAGACGAGUCUCGAGUCAACAGUGUGGGGACACUGAAGUGAAUAUGCAGGUAGUUGUUAGAGAACAAGGGUACCGAGCGUGACCAACACGAGAAGUCACUUGGAUGUCUACUCACUCGUCAGUGACUUACUCAAUAUUGCAGUAGCGUGACUGGUCAUUUGACCUACAGUGUCUCGGCUAUUCACAAUGAGGUUACUGUAGUUUGACAGUACAAACACUUGGUCCCUAGCGAUUCGGGUCCUUGCGGUGCAUGUUGGCUGCAGUAGGUUUAUUGUAGGAAUAUGGUGCGCACUCAGAUGGAAUCUAUCUCUCUUGGUAGAUUAGGGUGUUAGUCUUAUGUAAUUUAUGAAACCGAGUUUAGAAGACCUUGGCCAGGGCAGAGUUAAUAGCGGAAAAGGGUUUCCGAUAUUAAAAACUCGAGUCGAAUAAAUUUGACAUAUGACAGACGAUGAGGUUUGACGAGUUAUUCCAUAACCUCCGUCUAGUCGGGACUCAUGAUAGAAGGAUUGUAUGACACGGUAACUGCACCAAGAGAUUCAGUAUUUCAUUCUACUGGAAUGCCACUACAUGCUGCUAGGCGUCACUGGUGGAUUGUGAGACUCAUGAGAAUUAUCUAGAUGAUCGAUAAUUCUCAUUGGGCUAAGUUAGAAUUGUUCCGAUCCACUGAAAGGAGUUUCAGUGAUAUUAUUGAUAGUGAUCAAAAUAUAUCUCACUACCAGAUAAAAUAGAACCUAUGGGGUCACACACAUAAGAGGUUGUGAUUGAUCGGAUAGCUAGAUCGCGAUUAUUGAAUCGNNNNNNNNNNNNNNNNNNNNNNNNNGCAGGGUAGCAGGGAGCAAGUGAAGGAAUAAGCUGACGAAGAUCAUAUUUGUUUUCGUGUCUUAUGAAUCUCCAUUCAAGCCGAAUACUUGUCUUAAACAUAUGUCAGAACAUGUAGCAAUGGAUAGUUUGGAUAUCACUAAGCGGAAAUCGGUUUUUUGAUGUGUGGAUCGGUGUAAUAGAUUCAAGAAUCUUAAUUCGUCAGAAAUCCUAAUUCCGGAGGAGAGAUGAAAUUAUAUUGAUUUCUAAGACUGAGAUACGCAAUUUGAUAGGAACGAUUUCUCGUGGAGCCUUCUAGCAAGUCCAACUUAAUCAGAAUGUAGCGCGCGCAUGGUUCGGAAAAAUCGGCCGAGAUGGCCUUCAAAUGAAAGUUUGCUAGAGAGUCAAGAGCAAAGAUUAGGGACAAUUCGAUGAUUGCGGCAGCUCUUUUAUACAAUUUAACAUCAUGAAAUUGCGCGAGCUCUUGUCCAGCUGCCUCUCACUGUUUGUGCAGUUUCUCCAGUGACCAAAUCCUGAGCUGCACAAUCAUUCAGCUUUCUUCUCUUCGGAUAGCAAGGCCAGCAGAGACCAGUGUUAGCAUGUAGCCGUAGGAAGCAACCAGGCCGAAUAUAUAUUCUUUCUCAGGAUAUAAAUUUUCUAUUUAACUUUAAAUAUUUCAUGAAUAACUUUGGGUUUUUAUUUUCCAUUCAUGUAUGUGUUGCAUCCAUGAAUGUAAAGAUUAAUGAGAUAUGACAAAUAUUCUCAAGAGUGAGAUUUUGAGACAUGUGUCCAUUGUAGUGUAAUGUAAUUCCUAGAUACCCCUGUAUCAAUGGUCAUCACGGGGAACGGUGAUUGAUCGGUGAUGAUUGGCACAUAGGUCGCUUCCAUUUUUGGUAGACAGAGUCUCGCGUCAACAGUGUUGGGACACUGAAGUGAGAUAUGCAGGUAGUUGUUAGAGAACAAGGGUACGAGGUGACAACACGAGAAGUCACUUUGGAUGUCUACUCACUCCGUCAUGACUUACUUUUCAAAAAUUAUUGCAGUAGCGUGAUGGUCAUUUGACCUUACAGCUGUCUCGGCUAUUCACAAUGAGGUUACUUUCGUUGACAGCUACAAAACUUGGUCCCUAGGCGUUCGGGUCUUUGCGGUUCAUGUUGGCGCAGUAUGUUUAUGUGAGGAAUAUGGUGCGCACCAGAGGAAUCUAUCUUUUGGUAAGUAUAGGGUGUUAUCUUAUGUAAUUUAAUUGAACGGUUAUGAAAGACCUUUGGCCGGCAGAGUUAAUAGCGGAAAGGGUUUCGAUAUUAAAAACUCGAGUCGCUUUUUUGAAUAAAUUUGAAUACGGACGAUGAGGGUUUGACGAGUUUAUCUAACCUCCGUCUAUCGGGCUCAUGAUAGCAAGGAUUGUAUGACACGGUAACUGCACAAGAGAUCAGUAUUUCAUUCUCACUUGGAAUGCACUAAUGCUGCUAGGCGUCACUGGUGGUGUGAGACUCAUGAGAAUUAUCUAGAUGAUCGAUAAUUUCAUUGAGGCUAAGUUAGAAUUGUUCGAAUCCAUGAAAAGGAGUUUCAGGUGAUAUUAUUGAUAGUGAUCAAAAUAUAUUCACUACCAGUAAAUAGAACCUAUGGGGUCACACACAUAAGAGGUUGUGAUUGAUCGGAUAGCUAGAUCGUGAUUAUUGAAUCGUCGGAAGACCUAAUUGUCAAUAUGUUGAUAAUUGGACUAAUUUGUAAUUGUUACAAAUUAGUGGUAUUAAGGUGUAAAUAUAACAAGAGAGGACUUACUAAUAGUUAGUAAAUUAUAAGAGGAUUUAUGUGCAAAUGUUACAUUAUUAAUUUGAUAAGAUCAAAUUAAUAUAAAAUUCAAGUCGAAUCAAAUUAGGAUUUGAUCGAUCUAACCAAUUAAGGAAAGGAUAAAUUUAAAUCUAGAUUUAUAGAUAUCCUUAAUAGUUAUUAUAUUAUUAAAAAGAGGAUUAUAUUCCUCUAUAUUAUACGGGAGUUUUUAGAAAACCCUAGCCGUCAUCUCUCAUCUCCUCUCUCAUCCAUAUUCUAGCAAAAAGACGUCCUUUGCAAGGGAACUAGCAUCCCAGUGAGGAUAUCGAUCAAAUCAUCAACCUCGUGUGGAUACCUAUAGAGGCUGGACGCGUGUGCGGCUUCAAGAGAACCCAAUUCCACGAUCAUCAAGUUGAGGUGAAGAUUUAUCCGCGAAAAAGGUAAAGAUUCGAUCUUGUUUUUCUUCUUUAAUCUUAAAGAACAUGAGUAAUCCUAAUUGCGUGGUUUUUGAUAUUGGAUCUCGAGAGUUUUCAAAAAUCAAAUUUAUUUGAUUUCUUUUUCCGUUGCGUUUUACCGUAUGCAAUUUUCUAACAGUGGUAUCAGAGCCAUCCUCAUGUUCUUAAGAUUAAAAUUAUGAAUUUGGGUAUUCUAAACCGUUUUUCCGCCGGUAGAACAAUUUAUCGAUCAUUUUUGGCUAAUUCGAAAAGAUCAAAGUGAUCAACAAUUUAAUCGACGGUUUCUUGUUUAAAAAAAAAAAAAUACUGUAGCACC
rnacentral:lncRNA from 1 species